CGGGGCGAAAAUAAAAUACAGCAUGAUAUUCAGCGUACUUUAAACUAUAAAAUCAGCACAAUUUCAGAAAAAAAUUUCAGCCGUUUCAUAAACACUUUAAGGAUAUUAAAUAUAUUGUGCUAGAAAAGAACAUCCCAUUUUUUGCGACUUUGCGACUUAUGAGAGGGAGUGUGGAUAGGGUCAACACAGAAAUGAUGGAUGUUCGUUGGCGUAUGUUCAAAUUACAUCGCCAGAUACCAAGAGAUGAACAGAAACAUAUAAAACCUUGUGUUUCUUGCUUUGCCAAGCUCAUCUUAGAUAAUGUAGAGCGGUAGCAAACAAUAAUUUACUAACAGGAUGAGAUAAUUGGCUUAAUGAUAUACUUGUCUGCCAACAAAUAAUUUAUAGAUCGAUGCUCACUGACGGAUUUCAGCAUAAAAUACAAUGUUUUAUUAGUUUUUUAAUCAUUAACAUUAUGCAUUUGCUAAUUUUUAUCACAGAAUAUGUAUAAUACGAAUAUUAUAGUCA